rnacentral:rRNA from 1 species
GUCGAGAAUCUUCCGCAAUGCGCGAAAGCGUGACGGAGCGACACCGCGUGAUGGAUGAAGUCCUUCGGGGCGUAAACAUCUUUUAUAAAGGAGGAAAUUUUUGACGUUACUUUAUGAAUAAGGGGCUCCCAAUCUCGUGCCAGCAGGAGCGGUAAUACGAGAGCCUCAAGCGUUAUCCGGAAUCAUUGGGCGUAAAGGGUGCGUAGGUGGUUUGAUUAGUCUCCCGUUAAAACUUCGAGCUUAACUCGAAAAGAGCGGGGGAAACGGUCAAACUAGAGUAUGUGAGAGGUGUGUGGAACUCAUGGUGUAGGGGUGAAAUCCGUUGAUAUCAUGGGGAACACCAAAAGCGAAGGCAGCACACUGGCACAUCACUGACACUGAGGCACGAAACCUAAGGUAGCGAAUGGGAUUAGAUACCCCGGUAGUCC